AACGAACGCUGGCGGCAUGCCUAACACAUGCAAGUCGAACGAUGCCUUCGGGCAUAGUGGCGCACGGGUGCGUAACGCGUGGGAAUCUGCCCUUGGGUUCGGAAUAACAGUUGGAAACGACUGCUAAUACCGGAUGAUGACGUAAGUCCAAAGAUUUAUCGCCCGAGGAUGAGCCCGCGUCGGAUUAGCUAGUUGGUGGGGUAAAGGCCUACCAAGGCGACGAUCCGUAGCUGGUCUGAGAGGAUGAUCAGCCACACUGGGACUGAGACACGGCCCAGACUCCUACGGGAGGCAGCAGUGGGGAAUAUUGGAAAAUGGGCGCAAGCCCGAUCCAGCAAUGCCGCGUGAGUGAUGAAGGCCUUAGGGUUGUAAAGCUCUUUUACCCGGGAAGAUAAUGACUGUACCGGGAGAAUAAGCCCCGGCUAACUCCGUGCCAGCCGCCGCCGUAA
rnacentral:rRNA from 1 species